rnacentral:rRNA from 1 species
UGUAGGAGGUAUCGACUCCUUCUGUGCCGCAGUUAACACAAUAAGUAUUCCGCCUGGGAAGUACGGUCGCAAGAUUAAAACUCAAAGGAAUUGACGGGGACCCGCACAAGCAGCGGAGCAUGUGGUUUAAUUCGAAGCAACGCGAAGAACCUUACCUAGACUUGACAUCUCCUGAAUUAGUCCGUAAUGGAUGAAGUCCCUUCGGGGACAGGAUGACAGGUGGUGCAUGGUUGUCGUCAGCUCGUGUCGUGAGAUGUUGGGUUAAGUCCCGCAACGAGCGCAACCCUUAUCAUUAGUUGCUAACAUUUAGUUGAGCACUCUAGUGAGACUGCCCGGGUUAACCGGGAGGAAGGUGGGGAUGACGUCAAAUCAUCAUGCCCCUUAUGUCUAGGGCUACACACGUGCUACAAUGGUGGGGACAAAAAGAUGCAAUACCGCAAGGUGGAGCAAAACUCAAAACCCCAUCCCAGUUCGGAUUGUAGGCUGAAACUCGCCUACAUGAAGCCGGAGUUGCUAGUAAUCGCGAAUCAGAAUGUCGCGGUGAAUACGUUCCC